rnacentral:rRNA from 1 species
CCUACGGGAGGCAGCAGUGAGGAAUAUUGGACAAUGGGCGCAAGCCUGAUCCAGCCAUGCCGCGUGCAGGAAGAAGCAUCUAUGGUGUGUAAACUGCUUUUGUACAGGAAGAAACACUCCCUCGUGAGGGAGCUUGACGGUACUGUAAGAAUAAGGACCGGCUAACUCCGUGCCAGCAGCCGCGGUAAUACGGAGGGUCCGAGCGUUAUCCGGAAUCAUUGGGUUUAAAGGGUCCGUAGGCGGUUUAAUAAGUCAGUGGUGAAAUCUGGUCGCUCAACGAUCAAACGGCCAUUGAUACUGUUAGACUUGAAUUAUAAGGAAGUAACUAGAAUACGUAGUGUAGCGGUGAAAUGCUUAGAUAUUACAUGGAAUACCAAUUGCGAAGGCAGGUUACUACUUAUGGAUUGACGCUGAUGGACGAAAGCGUGGGGAGCGAACAGGAUUAGAUACCCUGGUAGUCCACGCCGUAAACGAUGGAUACUAGCUGUUCGGAGCAAUCUGAGUGGCUAAGCGAAAGUGAUAAGUAUCCCACUGGGGAGUACGUUCGCAAGAAUGAAACUUAAAUGAAAUUGACGGCUGAGACGNGCGAGACGACGACGAGGGAGGAGG